AAAUUGCAUGUCCCUCUUCCUUUUCGAUUCUUCAUAGCCAUGUUGUGAAUCCCUCGGCGUAUCACCCUAUAUAUACCGUCUUAAAGCAUAUAUAUUUUACAUGAUUCACCACAAGCUGACCUUCUUGAUCUCGAAGCUCCCAUCAAGAUCUACGUUAUAGACAAGGAAGAAAAAAAAAUUGGGUGGAUUUGUGGAGUAGCUAAGAGAGGUUGAUAUGUUUAAUCAAUCAUCUGAUAGCAGCAGAUCAUCUCAAAGCAGAGAAGUUAAAGGACUCAUAAUGAUCACUUGAAUUGCUCUAAGUUUUGGAUGAUAUUCGUGGACAGUACUCGGGUCUGUUGAUGCUGUUUGAAUACGGAGGCUUCCCUCCUACAAAUAGGGAGGCUUCCCUCCUACAGCUAAACUUUUUAUUCUUAGGAGAUCAUGUGGAACGAAGGUAGCGGAGUGUGGAGACGAUCCGUCUUCUACUUUCCUACAAAAUCAAUUACCCGAGAACCUUUUCCUUCUAUGAGGAAACCACGAAUGAGCUUCCAUCAGGCAUCAACAGAAUCUAUGGAUUCUAUGAUGGAUUCAACCGCUGAUUCAGUGUGAGACUCCCGUAGCUGCUGCAAUAGUGAUAUGAUAUUAUGCAUGCCUAGUGGCCUUUCUCCUGAUUUGACAACCGCAGAUUACGACCAUUAAGCGACCAACUGAUGUUCCAGAGUCUGGUCAGCUCUGCGAUCUGCUUUGGUCUGAUCAAGCAAAGAUGUCAAUGUCUGGUGGAUGAACCACCGUGGAAUCUCUUACACGUUUGGAUCCGAAAAGGUCACUGAAUUUCUAAUAAAGAACGAUAUGGAUCUCAUCUGAAAUGCUCAACAUGUUGUAGAGGAUGGUUAUGAUUUUUUCCUGAUCGACAGCUUGCUAUUAUAUUCUCUGCUCCUAACUACUGUGGUGACUUCGACAAUACUGGUGCAAUGAUAAGUGUUGAUGAAAUUUUAAUGUACUCUUUCCAAACUCUUAAGCAUGUGGAAAGAAGGCCCUGGUUCUUAUGCUGAAUAGAGUUUGAACCUCUCGGGGAAAGAAGAUGAAAUUGGCAACAUGAAGCCGGGGAAGAGACAUUUGACUCUACUUGAGAUUUUGUCCUGAGGCCUUCCAAAGAGGCUUAAAAUGCAUGUUAUAUGUCAUAUCAUAUCUUCAUGAUACUCGCCAUUUCUUUUCUCAAAACUUUAUGUUUUCAUGACCUUCUCUGACUCGUAUUGGACAGCAAAAAGUCUACAAAGUUUUAUUCUUCCAUC